rnacentral:lncRNA from 1 species
AUACUCAAUUCAACAAAUAUGUCAUGAUACGAUAGAUUAAUCCUCACCAGCCGUCCCUAGCGCAAAGGGCUUGAUAGUUGGUACUCGAGGUUCCAAGUUCGAAUCCUAGUUGAUUCAUAUUUUCAGCUAAGUUUAUUUCUAAAUGAAAUAAACGAAGUGGAUAGUAUGCUAUCUAUCUCUCUAAAAAAAAAAAAAAUAGAUUAAUCCUUGGAGAUCAUUGUC